UCAUAUAGCAUUGAAACACUGCUUCCCAUACAGCCACUGAAGUUAAGCAAUGUCGAACCUGGUCAGUAACUAGAUGAGUGACUGCUUGGGAAUACCAGGUGCUGUAA